rnacentral:rRNA from 1 species
UUAAGCGACUAAGCGUACACGGUGGAUGCCCUGGCAGUCAGAGGCGAUGAAGGACGUGCUAAAUCUGCGAUAAGCGUCGGUAAGGUGAUAUGAACCGUUAUAACCGGCGAUUUCCGAAUGGGGAAACCCAGUGUGAUUCGUCACACUAUCAUUAACUGAAUCCAUAGGUUAAUGAGGCGAACCGGGGGAACUGAAACAUCUAAGUACCCCGAGGAAAAGAAAUCAACCGAGAUUCCCCCAGUAGCGGCGAGCGAACGGGGAGGAGCCCAGAGCCUGAAUCAGUGUGUGUGUUAGUGGAAGCGUCUGGAAAGGCGCGCGAUACAGGGUGACAGCCCCGUACACAAAAAUGCACAUGCUGUGAGCUCGAUGAGUAGGGCGGGACACGUGGUAUCCUGUCUGAAUAUGGGGGGACCAUCCUCCAAGGCUAAAUACUCCUGACUGACCGAUAGUGAACCAGUACCGUGAGGGAAAGGCGAAAAGAACCCCGGCGAGGGGAGUGAAAAAGAACCUGAAACCGUGUACGUACAAGCAGUGGGAGCACAGAGCAAUCUGUGUGACUGCGUACCUUUUGUAUAAUGGGUCAGCGACUUAUAUUCUGUAGCAAGGUUAACCGAAUAGGGGAGCCGAAGGGAAACCGAGUCUUAACUGGGCGUUAAGUUGCAGGGUAUAGACCCGAAACCCGGUGAUCUAGCCAUGGGCAGGUUGAAGGUUGGGUAACACUAACUGGAGGACCGAACCGACUAAUGUUGAAAAAUUAGCGGAUGACUUGUGGCUGGGGGUGAAAGGCCAAUCAAACCGGGAGAUAGCUGGUUCUCCCCGAAAGCUAUUUAGGUAGCGCCUCGUGAAUUCAUCUCCGGGGGUAGAGCACUGUUUCGGCAAGGGGGUCAUCCCGACUUACCAACCCGAUGCAAACUGCGAAUACCGGAGAAUGUUAUCACGGGAGACACACGGCGGGUGCUAACGUCCGUCGUGAAGAGGGAAACAACCCAGACCGCCAGCUAAGGUCCCAAAGUCAUGGUUAAGUGGGAAACGAUGUGGGAAGGCCCAGACAGCCAGGAUGUUGGCUUAGAAGCAGCCAUCAUUUAAAGAAAGCGUAAUAGCUCACUGGUCGAGUCGGCCUGCGCGGAAGAUGUAACGGGGCUAAACCAUGCACCGAAGCUGCGGCAGCGACACUGUGUGUUGUUGGGUAGGGGAGCGUUCUGUAAGCCUGUGAAGGUGUGCUGUGAGGCAUGCUGGAGGUAUCAGAAGUGCGAAUGCUGACAUAAGUAACGAUAAAGCGGGUGAAAAGCCCGCUCGCCGGAAGACCAAGGGUUCCUGUCCAACGUUAAUCGGGGCAGGGUGAGUCGACCCCUAAGGCGAGGCCGAAAGGCGUAGUCGAUGGGAAACAGGUUAAUAUUCCUGUACUUGGUGUUACUGCGAAGGGGGGACGGAGAAGGCUAUGUUGGCCGGGCGACGGUUGUCCCGGUUUAAGCGUGUAGGCUGGUUUUCCAGGCAAAUCCGGAAAAUCAAGGCUGAGGCGUGAUGACGAGGCACUACGGUGCUGAAGCAACAAAUGCCCUGCUUCCAGGAAAAGCCUCUAAGCAUCAGGUAACAUCAAAUCGUACCCCAAACCGACACAGGUGGUCAGGUAGAGAAUACCAAGGCGCUUGAGAGAACUCGGGUGAAGGAACUAGGCAAAAUGGUGCCGUAACUUCGGGAGAAGGCACGCUGAUAUGUAGGUGAAGUCCCUCGCGGAUGGAGCUGAAAUCAGUCGAAGAUACCAGCUGGCUGCAACUGUUUAUUAAAAACACAGCACUGUGCAAACACGAAAGUGGACGUAUACGGUGUGACGCCUGCCCGGUGCCGGAAGGUUAAUUGAUGGGGUCAGCGCAAGCGAAGCUCUUGAUCGAAGCCCCGGUAAACGGCGGCCGUAACUAUAACGGUCCUAAGGUAGCGAAAUUCCUUGUCGGGUAAGUUCCGACCUGCACGAAUGGCGUAAUGAUGGCCAGGCUGUCUCCACCCGAGACUCAGUGAAAUUGAACUCGCUGUGAAGAUGCAGUGUACCCGCGGCAAGACGGAAAGACCCCGUGAACCUUUACUAUAGCUUGACACUGAACAUUGAGCCUUGAUGUGUAGGAUAGGUGGGAGGCUUUGAAGUGUGGACGCCAGUCUGCAUGGAGCCGACCUUGAAAUACCACCCUUUAAUGUUUGAUGUUCUAACGUGGACCCGUGAUCCGGGUUGCGGACAGUGUCUGGUGGGUAGUUUGACUGGGGCGGUCUCCUCCUAAAGAGUAACGGAGGAGCACGAAGGUUGGCUAAUCCUGGUCGGACAUCAGGAGGUUAGUGCAAUGGCAUAAGCCAGCUUGACUGCGAGCGUGACGGCGCGAGCAGGUGCGAAAGCAGGUCAUAGUGAUCCGGUGGUUCUGAAUGGAAGGGCCAUCGCUCAACGGAUAAAAGGUACUCCGGGGAUAACAGGCUGAUACCGCCCAAGAGUUCAUAUCGACGGCGGUGUUUGGCACCUCGAUGUCGGCUCAUCACAUCCUGGGGCUGAAGUAGGUCCCAAGGGUAUGGCUGUUCGCCAUUUAAAGUGGUACGCGAGCUGGGUUUAGAACGUCGUGAGACAGUUCGGUCCCUAUCUGCCGUGGGCGCUGGAGAACUGAGGGGGGCUGCUCCUAGUACGAGAGGACCGGAGUGGACGCAUCACUGGUGUUCGGGUUGUCAUGCCAAUGGCACUGCCCGGUAGCUAAAUGCGGAAGAGAUAAGUGCUGAAAGCAUCUAAGCACGAAACUUGCCCCGAGAUGAGUUCUCCCUGACCCUUUAAGGGUCCUGAAGGAACGUUGAAGACGACGACGUUGAUAGGCCGGGUGUGUAAGCGCAGCGAUGCGUUGAGCUAACCGGUACUAAUGAACCGUGAGGCUUAACCUU